rnacentral:rRNA from 1 species
UACGUAGGGUGCAAGCGUUGUCCGGAAUUAUUGGGCGUAAAGAGCUCGUAGGCGGUCUGUUGCGUCGGCUGUGAAAACCCGGGGCUCAACCCCGGGCCUGCAGCCGAUACGGGCAGACUAGAGUUCGGCAGGGGAGACUGGAAUUCCUGGUGUAGCGGUGAACUGCGCAGAUAUCAGGAGGAACACCGGUGGCGAAGGCGGGUCUCUGGGCAGUAACUGACGCUGAGGAGCGAAAGCGUGGGGAGCGAACAGG